ACAGUUUAGUUCUUCUAGAUUUAAAGUAAUUACUAGGGAGUGCUGCUGGCAUCUAGUAGACGAAGGCCAGGGAUGCUGCUAAAUAUCUGACUCUAAGCAGACAGGGUAGGGAGUCUCCAGAGGAAAAGAACCAGAUAUAGCUUUCUGACGUAAGAGAGGCCAUUUUAGGCCUAAGCCAUUUGUGAUCUAAGCCUGCCCACAAUGGUUGUCCUUGAAUAGGUCUCAGUAAUAAUGACCUGAAGGGUCAAGGGCAAGAGAAGGAACAAUAGCAAAGAUAAUAAAUCAGAUAAUAAAGACUCCCAGGUUUUUUUCCCCCCAAUGGUAAAGAUUACAUUUUUGAGCUGUUUUGCAGAAUUUAAACCCCCUCAGGUGCUCAACCACUAGAUCAAUUGGAACCAAAGGGAUGACGAUGUUGACCUUUUCUGACCCUCCUGACUCCAAUCAACUAAAGCGUGGACUCUGUUGACCUUUGCCCUAAUUCUAUGCUCAAUUCUUCUCAGCUCAAGCUCCUUCAUGAACAUGCAGGAUCUAGAUCUAUUCCAAAUUUGUGGAAUUAAUUAGAUAAUUAAGAGGAACCUCAGAACUACAAGGAAUGAUCAAAGAAGUCAUCUGACACAUCCUACAAAGAAAAGGAGGAUUCCCAAAGAUAUGAAAGAAGAAAAGGCGUGAAGUGGAUGGGCUGCUGCACUGCGGGGAUCCCCACUUCAGGCCUUAAUUCACCCGCUUGCUGGGAGUGAAAUGGGCUGACAGACCUCAGAUCAGUGUCUCUCCGGAGAUCACCUCAUCUGAAGAGAGCUGCCCUACCGAAGACCAUACGCCCUUCCCUCCAAGGACUGGUUACAACAGGGGAAUGAAAGCCCCAACAUUGGACGACCUAGAAGAGCCAUCUCAGCUUCAGAGCAUCCUGGAGGGUUGAUUGGGGACUUCUUAAAACAGCAUCCUUCCCUUCUUGUAAGUAUUGGUUCCGACACCAUUCCUUAACAAACCUCUCAAAUGCUCAUCUCCACCCAGAGUCUGCGUCCCAGGAACUAAACCCAACCCAACCCAAAAUGUGUCAAGAAUCCCAUAAUUUCAAAGCAUGGUCAGCCAAGUGAUUAUAAACUGUGUGAAUGAAUGAAUGAACUAGCUACAAGGAAGCCCCUCUGUGGCCAGUAGAUAGAAAUGCCCUCCAUCCUUUACCUGGGUCAGUCUUAGAUGAUCUGAGGGCUUGAGGAACAUAUUCCUUGCAUAAAACGUAUUCACAGCGCUAAGUGCCUCACAUGAGCAAUCUCGUUUUAUUCUUCUCACAACCCUAUGAGGCAGAUACUAUUUUGUUCCCAUUUUGAAUGUGAAGAAACUGAGGAUUAGAGUGGUUAAUAUCAUGUCAAAGGUAAGUAAGUGGGAUGCAGAGCUGUAAUAUGAAUCCAUGUCUUUCUGACCCUAGAACCUGUGUUCUAAAGCUGCCUUGCUAUAGUGUCUCACUGGCUAGUAUAUCUUGGUUUCCUCCACAGUUCCUUAUGCAUAGAAAUAAAUUAAUGCUUUUUCCUUGAUUUGUUGAUUUGGCAGUACUUAAAACAGGCCUUUCCAUGAGGGUGGUCAAGCAUUUAAAAAUGACCUUAAGCUGACUUGAACUGUGCACAUAAACUCUACUGUGUUGCUCUGCCUUAUAGGGAUUUAACUGGCUACUUAAUAAGGUGGGGAACCCCAAUUCCUUAUUUGUAUCUGAGG